UCCCUGGUGGUCCAAUGGCUGAGACUCUGCACUCCCAAUGCAGGUGGCCCAGGUUUGACCCCUGGUUGGAGAA
rnacentral:tRNA from 1 species